rnacentral:rRNA from 1 species
AUUGAACGCUGGCGGCAUGCCUUACACAUGCAAGUCGAACGGUAACGCGGGGCAACCUGGCGACGAGUGGCGAACGGGUGAGUAAAGCAUCGGAACGUGCCCAGUAGUGGGGGAUAGCCCGGCGAAAGCCGGAUUAAUACCGCAUACGACCUAUGGGUGAAAGGGGGGAUCGCAAGACCUCUCGCUAUUGGAGCGGCCGACGUCAGAUUAGGUAGUUGGUGGGGUAAAGGCCUACCAAGCCGACGAUCUGUAGCUGGUCUGAGAGGACGACCAGCCACACUGGGACUGAGACACGGCCCAGACUCCUACGGGAGGCAGCAGUGGGGAAUUUUGGACAAUGGGCGCAAGCCUGAUUCAGCCAUGCCGCGUGCGGGAAGAAGGCCUUCGGGUCGUAAACCGCUUUUGUCAGGGAAGAAAUCCUUUGGGUUAAUACCUCGGGGGGAUGACGGUACCUGAAGAAUAAGCACCGGCUAGCUACGUGCCAGCAGCCGCCGUAACAC